AAAAAAUUAACAAUUUUACUCAUGUGUCUGAAACCCAAUGGGCCAUAUCUAUAGAUUUAUUUCAAGGCCCAUCACAUACUAACUCAUAUGGCCACAUAGCCAGUUUUGACAGAGCCCUGACCGCAACUUGAGCCAGGGCUUGAAGAGAGACAGAGGCAGCAAGACCAGGCGUCCUCUGUCAUGCUCACUGAUGUCCCUGCCACUUCUCUCCUCGGUGAGCCUAUGGUGACUGUGCGUCCUGAGAGGGCUCAGCGGCGGCAGCAUCACAGCCUCCCGGUCUGCUCUGUGAAUGGUUUUUAUCCAGGCCACAUUGAAAUCAUAUGGUUUGAGAAUGGCCAGGAAGAACAGGCUGGGAUUCUCUUCCCAGGCCUGAUCUAAAAUGGAAAUUGGACCUUUCAGAUCCUGGUGAUGCUCGAAACCAUUCUUCAGAGUGGAGAGGUCUGUACCUGCCACUUGGAACACCUGAACCUGCUAAGCUUGCUCACAGUGGAAUGGAAUUAAAAGCUAACUGACUUCAGACUCUUUUCACUCACCGAGAAGAGAGCGUCUGCAUAUCCCUGAAUGCCAGAUUUGUUUCUCCUUCUUCCACACUGUUUUCAUUGCUCCAUGCUCUCUGCUCUUUCAGCCCAGGUCACAGAGGGUCGUUGUAUGAUUCUUUCCACAAGUACCUAAUCCACGGGGAAUGCAAUGAUGCUUGGCAAGCAGAAAAGAGCUUGUUUUGAAUCUUCUCAUGCCAUCACAGGACAUAAUCACCUUCUUGGCCCUGGGUACCAGGCCUUCCUCUGGGGCUAGCCGUCUUCUUCCCUCUGAGCUGCAUGGAUACUGUGAUCGGAGAAGAGCAUCCUUUGCAGUGUGAGGCUCUGCUUGACUUGAGGGCAAUGCAGUCUCAGCUCUGUCUUUUAUGAGCUCUGUCCUUCUAGAUGAGCUGAUGGACGUUAUGAGUCCCAGGCUCCUCCUAAGUCUGAUGUUGUGGUCAUGCCUUAUGUCAAGCUGUGACAUUUAAUGAUUGAGUGUCCAAACCUUGUAUUUACUCAGCGCACAUUAAAGAAUUUCCCCAAAGGGGUCCAGUAAUUCUGUGUUGUCAAGACAACAACACCCUCCCCAAUUCUCAAACCUCUGAUCUCAGGGUCUCGAUCAGAGAAGUUGGUUUUGGGGUAAAAACCACUAAUUCUGGCUUCUUCUCCUAGGAGUACAGUCUGAAUCUGCACAGAGCAAGAUGCCGAGCGGCCCUGGAGGGUUUGUUCUGGGUCUGCUCUUCCUUGGGGCGCGGCUGUUCAUCCACUCAGGAAUCUGAACGGGCCCUUGAGCUGAAGUGAAGUUGGUGACACGCAGGAGGCAGUUUCUGCCCUAGUUUCUUCUUAGCAUGACAGAUUGUGUGCUUCCCUCAUAUUCUUCUACCAGGAGUGAUUGUUCCGGAUCUGGCUUGCUCCUGCUUCAGUGAUCAUACAGAAACGUACUUCUUGAUGGAUUUCCUCAGCUCCUGGCCUUGGUCUGGAGGUCUUUGAUGUUCCUUAUAUUGUGUUCAUUUUUUUCUCAAUUAAUAAACAAUUUCCCCAUGCUUAUUCCUUUCCAUAUAUCUGACCUCACCUUUGAUUUACAUUGCUUUGUUAAAGUUUUAACAAAUAAAGAUGGCUUGAAAAUGA